UACAGAGGGGGCAAGCGUUGUUCGGAUUUACUGGGCGUAAAGGGCGCGUAGGCGGCGUGGUAAGUCACUUGUGAAAUCUCUGAGCUCAACUCAGAACGGCCAAGUGAUACUGCUGUGCUAGAGUGCAGAAGGGGCAAUCGGAAUUCUUGGUGUAGCGGUGAAAUGCGUAGAUAUCAAGAGGAACACCUGAGGUGAAGACGGGUUGCUGGGCUGACACUGACGCUGAGGCGCGAAAGCCAGGGGAGCAAACGGG
rnacentral:rRNA from 1 species